AAAGAUACCAUUGACAGUCUGCACGUGAACAAGAACUGCAAGAUUUGCUGACCUCAAAGUAAUCUGAAGAGGAAGCUCUCCUUUGGCAGCAGAGUACUUCAUGCUUUCUGUGGACC